CCAAAAUGGCCAUCGGCUUACCCCAGCACCUCCAGCUGCAAGAGGAUUGUUGACUUCCUGACCGACAGACUGCAAUCAGUCAAGCAGCAGAAUGCACAGGGCCUGAGAGAAAUACCUGAAUGGAACAACCCUGGAAACUAAAUCUCCUCCAGCUGCUAUAAAC